GCUGGCGGCAGGCCUAACACAUGCAAGUCGAGCGGAUGAAGGGGAGCUUGCUCCUGGAUUCAGCGGCGGACGGGUGAGUAAUGCCUAGGAAUCUGCCUGGUAGUGGGGGAUAAACGUCCGGAAACGGGCGCUAAUACCGCAUACGUCCUGAGGGAGAAAGUGGGGGAUCUUCGGACCUCACGCUAUCAGAUGAGCCUAGGUCGGAUUAGCUAGUUGGUGGGGUAAAGGCCUACCAAGGCGACGAUCCGUAACUGGUCUGAGAGGAUGAUCAGUCACACUGGAACUGAGACACGGUCCAGACUCCUACGGGAGGCAGCAGUGGGGAAUAUUGGACAAUGGGCGAAAGCCUGAUCCAGCCAUGCCGCGUGUGUGAAGAAGGUCUUCGGAUUGUAAAGCACUUUAAGUUGGGAGGAAGGGCAGUAAGUUAAUACCUUGCUGUUUUGACGUUACCAACAGAAUAAGCACCGGCUAACUUCGUGCCAGCAGCCGCGGUAAUACGAAGGGUGCAAGCGUUAAUCGGAAUUACUGGGCGUAAAGCGCGCGUAGGUGGUUCAGCAAGUUGGAUGUGAAAUCCCCGGGCUCAACCUGGGAACUGCAUCCAAAACUACUGAGCUAGAGUACGGUAGAGGGUGGUGGAAUUUCCUGUGUAGCGGUGAAAUGCGUAGAUAUAGGAAGGAACACCAGUGGCGAAGGCGACCACCUGGACUGAUACUGACACUGAGGUGCGAAAGCGUG
rnacentral:rRNA from 1 species